GAGAUAAGUGUUACUUUCAAACAAAGUCUAUGUCCUUAUAUUCUGUGGAUAUUCAACUAUGUAUUUGAAUAUGGUUUGGGAUUAAACAGUGUACUACAAUGAAUGUGCAGUAUGGAGUUCUUUCACAUUAAAAGUAUUGCAUUUAUAAUGUAAUGCAUCAUGUGCAAUCAUUUGCUUUAAUUGUUAGUAAGUUAUGAAAACAGGUCUAUACCUGGUAGGUAAACUGUUCAUUCAUAAAUAAAGUCCAGCUCAACAAGUUUCACACUGCAGCAGCUGCACUAACGUUAUUUCUGAACCAAUAAUCUAAUAAAACAUUAUUACUGAAGUUACCCACAGUAACAUAGUCAAGCCAAAUAGGUUGGGGAGCUGAACAACUUUACAUAACGUUAAAUAUCUAACUUGGUGGAGCUCAUUCACUAAACACACAGUCGCCUUCAGUUUAAAAGAUUUAUCACCAUAAACUCUAACGCUCCUCUCUCCGCUGUGUGAACCGCUUCAUGUCAUGCCGCUCCCGUUAGCAUUGCCAUUACUGCUGGUAUGUUGCCUGGAGGUUAGCGGAGCUAAGCUAACCAGCCAGGUACAGAGACAAUGAUACCUGCUCAUCACUACUGACACGUAAAUAAAAGGCAGUACUUUACACACCACAGACACUUCUCCGUCAGGACAAUCAGCCGAACAACAAAC
rnacentral:misc_RNA from 1 species